GCCAAUGGGCGCGGCGGAAGGCGGCCGCCGCCGUCCCGGGCGCGGAGCGGCGGAGCCCCAUUAGGGCGGGGAGCGGCGGCGGGCAGCGGGCACUCGCGGCGGGGGCGGCCGGCGGCGGCUCGGCUCGGCUCGGCUCGGCUCGGCUCGGCUCGGCUCGGCUCGGCUCGGCUCCCGACGGCAGGGCACGGCACGGCACGGCACGGUCCCAGCGCGCUGCCUCCCCCGCUGUCAAUGCGGGCGCCCCGGCGCCGCGGGAGGAUUGAACCCAUUUGAAGGACACCAUUUGUGAGCUGCUUCUUUAAAGCCAUCAUAUGGUGCAUCAGGGCAACUUCUGGACAAAAAACUUCAAGCAUUUAGUAAGCAUUUAGUACCACUGGAGAGCUUUUCUUUUAAAAUGAAUUUCUAAAAGCACAGAAGAAGCCAUCUUGUUUUUCGUUGCACUCUGAAGUUCCUAACUCCUAAGCUGAUGCUUCAUGAGGCAAAACUCUUGGGCAAAUUCACCUGGUUUAAAAAUAAUCACUGAAGCUUCCAAAGACAUUGCCAGUUGUAGUCCAAAGUUAUCACUUUGAGACCAAGUAUAUCUUUUUAAUCAAACAUCUGUACCCUGGUAAAGGCAAAACAUGUAAUUUAAGAAUUUAUUGUCUGUUCAAACAUGUAUAAUUCUCAAGCUGUACCUGUUCAUUUGACCUGCCUUUAGUUUGUUCAAUAAAAUGCUGCAGUAUGAUUGCUACAGAAUACCUUCAAUGUUGGGAACAAGGUUAACUUCUGGCAAAUAUUGAUUACUUUGAUAUUUCUUAGCUGUGCUUCCAAAAAAUAUUAAGAGGAUAUCAAGUAAAGACUUAUAUUUAAAGUCUGAA